GACGGAAGGUGCAAGCGUUGCUCGGAAUCACUGGGCGUAAAGGGUGCGUAGGCGGCCGUGCAAGUCUGGCGUGAAAGCCCCGGGCUCAGCCCGGGAAGUGCGCUCGAAACUGCGCGGCUCGAGUGCCGGAGGGGAGAGUGGAAUUCCUGGUGUAGCGGUGAAAUGCGUAGAUAUCAGGAGGAAUACCGGUGGCGAAGGCGGUCUCUGGGCAAUGAUCUGACGCUGAGGAGCGAAAGCGGGGAGCGAAACAGGAUU
rnacentral:rRNA from 1 species